rnacentral:rRNA from 1 species
GACGGGGGGGGCAAGUGUUCUUCGGAAUGACUGGGCGUAAAGAGCGCGCAGGCGGCCUAUCAAGUCAGAUGUGAAAUAACCAGGCUUAACCUGGUGGGGUCAUUUGAAACUGGCAGGCUAGAGUACAGCAGAGGAUAGCGGAAUUCCCGGUGUAGUGGUGAAAUGCGUAGAUAUCAGGAGGAACACCGAUGGCGAAGGCAGCUCGCUGGGACGGUACUGACGCUGAGACGCGAAAGCGUGGGGAGCAAACAGG